rnacentral:rRNA from 1 species
CUUAAUUGGGCGUUAAGUUGCAGGGUAUAGACCCGAAACCCGGUGAUCUAGCCAUGGGCAGGUUGAAGGUUGGGUAACACUAACUGGAGGACCGAACCGACUAAUGUUGAAAAAUUAGCGGAUGACCUGUGGCUGGGGGUGAAAGGCCAAUCAAACCGGGAGAUAGCUGGUUCUCCCCGAAAGCUAUUUAGGUAGCGCCUCGUGAAUUCAUCUCCGGGGGUAGAGCACUGUUUCGGCUAGGGGGCCAUCCCGGCUUACCAACCCGAUGCAAACUGCGAAUACCGGAGAAUGUUAUCACGGGAGACACACGGCGGGUGCUAACGUCCGUCGUGAAGAGGGAAACAACCCAGACCGCCAGCUAAGGUCCCAAAGUCAUGGUUAAGUGGGAAACGAUGUGGGAAGGCCCAGACAGCCAGGAUGUUGGCUUAGAAGCAGCCAUCAUUUAAAGAAAGCGUAAUAGCUCACUGGUCGAGUCGGCCUGCGCGGAAGAUGUAACGGGGCUAAACCAUGCACCGAAGCUGCGGCAGCGAACGUAUCACCCAAGACAACUUUGCGGAGUUGACGAUUGACGGAGCGAAGCGACGUCAAAGCGUUCAUUAAAGUCGAGUUGGCUUAGGGAUACGUUCGUUGGGUAGGGGAGCGUUCUGUAAGCCUGUGAAGGUGUGCUGUGAGGC